GUGGCCGUAGCUCAAGUGGUGGAGCGCUCGCUUGUGGCGCGAGAGGUUGCGGGAUCGAAGCCCGUCGGUCACCCCA
rnacentral:tRNA from 1 species